AGUUAGAAAAAGAGCUGUACAGUAAGACAUCAUGCUCAACUUUUCUGAAUUAGAGCUUUGCCAGUAAAAGGGGCAUGAUAGUCAGAAGCUUUGAAAGUACAGAGCUAUUGGUCAUUAUAUAAAACUUAAUAUUUGAUGUAUCAAAAACUUUGUAAAGUCAGCUAAGAAUGCUACAUUUUCAUAGCAGUAAAUAUUCAAGUCACAUAUGUAUGUGAUAAGUAUGGUGUAAGGUUAUGCAUUGUUGUUUAUUACAUAUUUUCUAACAGCAUUUUCAAAAGCAUGCAUUAUUUGAUUACAGUGUACUGUAUGACACUGUUAAUACAUUUUUAUCACGAGUUCGCUUUGUUGUGCGUCUGCAGGUCAGAUUUUCUCAAUCCCUGGGGACUUACUUUUUAAUUUAAAAGGGCUAUGCAUUCUAUUUUAAGGUUUUUAUUAGUCAGCCGAGAGCCAAAUGAAGAUAAAUAUAUUUCUUCACUCUUCGCUCGCUCCUGAUUUUCUCAAAAACCUAAACAAAUAUUUAAAUUAUUUUUUCGCUCGCCGCCUCAAUUUUUUCAGAAAAAAAUCCGAUGAACAACUUAUCAAUUUGGUGUGGCCUUACUUGUAGAAUGAAGAGAUACCAAGUGGUAACUUUGAAGAGUCAGUGCAUUCUGAUGCAGGUCGGGCUGAUGACAUUCCAAAAGUUUUGCUCUCACCCAGCACAACAGAUGAGUCAUGUUUCAGUUUGGAGAACACAAAGAUCUGUUUCACAAGACAUGGAAUAUUGAUCAUAGAUAGUGGAGAUAAUACAAAGACAACACUUCUUCAUGCUGCUGCUGGCUUUGGUGAUAUAGAAUCUGUAAGAUACCUUCUAGAGCAAGAUGUAGAUGUUAAUAUUACAGAUGAAAGGUUUGUCUUAAGAUGUCUACAUUUAAAGUCCAAUAUUCUUGAAUGUCUGUGA